AUUGAACGCUGGCGGCAUGCCUAACACAUGCAAGCCGAACGGAUCCUUCGGGAUUAGUGGCGGACGGGUGAGUAACACGUGGGAACGUGCCCUUUGGUUCGGAACAACUCAGGGAAACUUGAGCUAAUACCGGAUGUGCCCUUCGGGGGAAAGAUUUAUCGCCAUUGGAGCGGCCCGCGUCUGAUUAGCUAGUUGGUGAGGUAAAGGCUCACCAAGGCGACGAUCAGUAGCUGGUCUGAGAGGAUGAUCAGCCACAUUGGGACUGAGACACGGCCCAAACUCCUACGGGAGGCAGCAGUGGGGAAUCUUGCGCAAUGGGCGAAAGCCUGACGCAGCCAUGCCGCGUGAAUGAUGAAGGUCUUAGGAUUGUAAAAUUCUUUCACCGGGGACGAUAAUGACGGUACCCGGAGAAGAAGCCCCGGCUAACUUCGUGCCAGCCGCCGCGGUAAGAC
rnacentral:rRNA from 1 species